CUACUCUUAUUAUCUUGGUGGAAACUGCCAUUAGCAGUGACCUCAUUUCAGUAAGUAUACAAGGAUCAGGAAGGUUUGAGGAUUUUUAGACUGUUUUUGCUUGAUAGGUGAUGAUAAGAGAUGCAGUUAUUGUUUCAUGAGCAGGAACAGGCAGAUUCAGUGAAGCUUGAUGUCAUGUGGCGCCCAUCACUUCCCAAACGAGGCUGGGAAACCAGACUAUGAUUGCCCAGAUCCUGAUGAUUACUGUGAGCUGAUAAAGAGAUGCUAGAACCACAAUAAGGCCGACGUUUGAGCAGCUGAAAAAGAUUCUCGAUAUAAUGAAACCACACAAGGUCAGCCCUGUGGAUAUGAUGAUGAACCUGUCAUGUUACCGAAACCAGUGGCUGAUGAUCUUCGUCACAGAUGCACAGCAGAAGCCCAAAGUUACUCCAACACCACUCUAUAUUUCAGGCCCUGUUGUAGCUGGGGUGGUUGGCACCAAAAUGUCAAGAUAGCCUACUGCUUAUUUGGCAACACUGUAAACACAGCGUCCCGUAUGGAGUCCACCAGUGAAGGUAUUUGGGCAAACGCAGCUGUUUACACAGCGUCAGUUAGUAACUGAUCCUGUCUGACAUUUCCGGGGGAAUGGAAUCUUGUAAAUAUUUGCAAUGAUUUGUUGGUUAAAAUGUGAUAAAAUCGAAUGAUGCAUCCAAAUAUUUCCCUUUCUUGAACUUCUGUGGAGAUUAAAAGAUAAAGCUAACCAAAAAUCUCUUGGGUGUCAUGGAUCAUUAUUAAACAAUUUUCAGGCUUUUAUAUGUGUUAUUGU
ensembl:lncRNA